rnacentral:rRNA from 1 species
GAUGAACGCUGGCGGUGUGCCUAAUACAUGCAAGUCGAGCGAACAGACGAGGAGCUUUCUCCUCUGACGUUAGCGGCGGACGGGUGAGUAACACGUGGAUAACCUACCUAUAAGACUGGGAUAACUUCGGGAAACCGGAGCUAAUACCGGAUAACAUGUUGAACCGCAUGGUUCAACAGUGAAAGACGGUCUUGCUGUCACUUAUAGAUGGAUCCGCGUCGCAUUAGCUAGUUGGUAAGGUAACGGCUUACCAGGGCAACGAUGCGUAGCCGACCUGAGAGGGUGAUCGGCCACACUGGAACUGAGACACGGUCCAGACGCCUACGGGAGGCAGCAGUAGGGAAUCUUCCGCAAUGGGCGAAAGCCUGACGGAGCAACGCCGCGUGAGUGAAGAAAGUCUUCGGAUCGUAAAACUCUGUUAUUAGGGAAGAACAAAUGUGUAAGUAACUAAGCACGUCUUGACGGUACCUAAUCAGAAAGCCACGGCUAACUACGUG